UACGUAGGUGGCGAGCGUUAUCCGGAAUGAUUGGGCGUAAAGGGUGCGUAGGCGGCCUGCUAAGUCUGGAGUGAAAGGUACCGGCUCAACCGGUACAGGCUCUGGAAACUGGCGGGCUAGAGAGCAGGAGAGGGCGGUGGAACUCCAUGUGUAGCGGUAAAAUGCGUAGAUAUAUGGAGGAACACCGGUGGCGAAAGCGGCUCUCUGGCCUGUAACUGACACUGAGGCUCGAAAGCGUGGGUAGCAAACAGG
rnacentral:rRNA from 1 species